UUAGAUAUAAAUAGAUUAAGCUAUUUACCAGAGUACUACGAAUAAAAUCGUUUAAAACUCAAAGAGCUUGGCGGUGCUUUAGACUUCUCAGGGGAACCUGUCUCGUAAUCGACAGUCCACGUAUCACCUUGCCUUUCUUUGCAGUCAGUAUGUAUACCGUCGUCGGCAGGUAACUUUUAAAAAUAUAGAAGUUAGCAAGAAAACUUUUUGGUUUUUACGUCAGAUCAAGGUGCAGCUAAUAGAAAGGAGAAGAUGGGUUACAAUUAAAAUUUAUAAUUACGGAAAUUAGUUUUAAUAACUAAUUUGAAGGCGGACUUGAAAGUAUGGAUUAGUAAUUAAAUAUUUUGAAUUCAGCUCUGAAGCG
rnacentral:rRNA from 1 species